rnacentral:lncRNA from 1 species
CUGGCAGUUGUCUUAUUGAAGUUCCACUUCCAUCAAACUCCUCCAAACUUUCAACUUUCCCCAAAUUCUCUGGUAUAUAUUUAAGUUUAGAGCAACCAGACAGAUCAAGUUUUUUAAGGGAUUUCAAACAACCUAUGCUACUUGGAAUGCUUUCAAGGUUCUUGCAGUUGUUCAUGCUCAAUACAUCUAAGCCAAUCAAAUGACGAAUUGAUGAAAAUAGUUCAACAAUACCAGUCUCGUCCAAACGAAGCACCAUCAAACAGUUCAUGUUUCCUACUAUAUCUGGAAACUUCUCAAGUUUUGAGCAGCCAUCAAGAAUGAAAACUUUAAGCGAUUCCAUUUCAAGAUUGUUUGGGAGAAUCCUAAUACUUUGCAGCACAAGAUUCACAUAUUGAAGCUUCUUGUGAUGUGCAAGUGAUGGAUGGACCUCAGACAAACUUGUACAACCUUCAAGAAUAGUUCUCGAGAUUCGGAAUUCCAGUAAAAUCUGGAGUCUUGAUCAGGUUUAGUGAGUUGCUGAGAUUGAUGAUUUUCAAAUUAACUGCACUCUGCAAUCAGUCAGGGAGAAGAAAUAUGGAUCUACUAUCAUACAUAUAUAGGAAAACGAUAAAAAAAAUACAAAGGUCCUUAAAUUAGGUGAUCUCACCUUACACCCAUACCAUAAUUGCUCAAUACUAUUGUUAGCCAUGUGAAGUUCAACUAGCUCAUCCACCUGUAAACCAGCUGGCAAUGAUUUUGAAGGGUAAGAAUGCCAUUCAAGAAAUCGUAGCUUAUUGGAAAGAUCUUCAGGUCCUUCAGAAAGCUGCACGUUGUUGAUUUUGAGCAAUCUUAGUUUGCUCAUUUUAGAGAAGGCUUCCAUGUUCCAUUGUGAUUCUUUUAUUUCAGGCAUGUCUAGGAAAAUGGCUUCUAUUUUUUCUUUUCCCUGUCAACCAAAAGGGGAAUACAAGUAAAAAACAAAUACAAAGUAGAGAUGGAGCGUAAAUUAAAAUAAACUUCAUGAAAUCUUAUCAGCUACUCACUGUGUUGUCCAUCAGUGCAAGGCAGACAUCCUCGUAUGUCCACAAUCUACUACGCCUUCCAGGCUCUUCAGAGGAUUCACAACGAACAAUUUCCUUGCCCAUUAUCUGUAAUAAAUUAUGCAUCCAGAUUUGAUCCCGAGAGACACUUAUGAGUGAUUUCUCAAUAAGAACUUGUGUUCCAAUAUGUGCAUGGAAUCCACAGCUGUCAAGUAUCCUUAUUAUUCGAUCUUUUUUAAAUCCCUUAAGGAAACAAGCAAUGUCUAAAAAUAUUUUCUUCUCUAAUUCAUGGAGGCCAUCAAAACUAAUGCGAAGCACAUCAAUAAUUUCACGGUCAGGAAUAUAAUUUAGUCUAUUAAUGGCACUUCCCCAUUCAAGGAUACUUCUUCCAUGCAUAAACGAACCUAUAACUUCAAGAGCCAGUGGAAGGCCAUUAGCAUAGCCCACAACUUGCUUGGAUAGUUCCACGAAAUCUUCAACAGGUUGGUCAUUUUUGAAAGCUUUCUGGCUAAACAACGUAAGAGCAUCAUCAUCAUUCAAUUUCUCAGCCUCAUAUAUUCUAGCAACACCAUUUCUAGUCAACACUUGUUUAUCUCUGCUUGUUAUGAUAAUUCUGCUCCAUGGACCAAACCAUUUACUCUCCGCAGCCAGGGAUUCUAGUUGUUUAUGGUCAUCUACAUCAUCAAGAACAACAAGAAUCUUUCUACAUUGUAACCUCCGCUUUAUCAUUUCAAUUCCUCUAGAAGAAUCACAUAUAUUAGCGCGUUCCAUUAAGAUUUCAGAAAGAAGUUGUUCCUGCAAACGACGUGGUCCAUCUUUCUCAGAAAAAACUUCUCUGACAUUUGCUAAGAAGCAGCUGCCUUUAAAUUGCCAACGAAAGCUAUCAUAUACUACCCUUGCAACAGUCGUCUUACCUAUGCCACCCAUCCCACAAAUCCCUAUGAAGAUUGCUUCGCUAACUUCUUCACCUAUAAAACCAUUUAAUAUCUCUAGACGAGAAUCUAUUCCCACUAAUGUUUUGCUAACUGGCAUAGUGACGCUUAGUUUGUAGGAUAUGUAUUCAACAAUUAUAUUAAUUGAUUCCGAUUCUUUCCUGCAUAGGAGGGUGCAAAACAUUAAUCAUGUUGUGUGCAAAUCAAAUCAGAUAGUGAUAAUGGGAAAAUAAAGAUAUAGCUCAAAAAUGUAUGGCUGCUAGCCGGAAAUUAAUACAUCAAUCUUUGAGAAAGAUAAGGCUUUGACAAUAGAUAGCUUUAAUAACAAAGAGAAAAGGAAAGAAUAAACUAAAAAAGGAACUAAGAUUGUAUUAAUGCUAAGAAUGGUCCGUACAAUAUCUAUGUUAUUGCCUAUAGAAUCACACAGUUACUAAAGAAGCAUGCAUAUAAGAACAAAAACUCUUCAUUAAGUUUGGCUUUGACAGACCAAAAGGAAAAUGGAGUUCUUCUAUCAUAUUUUUUUAUCAACCACUAAGUUAUUUUUAUAAUUAUUUUUAACAAAAAUUUCAAUUAUCUUGCAUAGUAAACUUUUAAAAAACAACUUUAAAUUUAUUAAUUUUCGAGGUUUUUCCUAUAUGCUACCCAAAAAAUAUUUCUUAGACUAACAUAGUUUAAGUGGAUGCCCAAAUCCAAUCCACGCACCUUGAGAUGCACAAAUAUCACACAUGUUAAUAUUAUUCUUUUUUGCAAAUUAAUGGAUGAAAUAAUCGUAAUAAUAGAACUAAAGUUAACUAAAUAUACAAAUUGAGAAACCAGAUGAAUAAAUGGGCCAAUAAAAAAAAGAAAGGUAGAUUUUUUUGACAUGUAAGACCUGCAUGUCUCAAGUUGCAUAAGUGAGAUCUUUAUGGGUCUAUUUGCGAUUAUGAUAGGAAUUAUGAUUCAAAGUGUUUUUUGUUUAGAAAUACAUCAAAAUAAUAUUUUUUUAUUAUUUUAAAAAAAAUUAUUUUUGAUAUCAACAUAUCAAAACGAUCUGAAAAUAUAUAUAAAAAUAAUUUAAAAAAACACGGCAAACCACGUUCCCAAACGGACUCUACAACUCGUGAAACAAUGCUAGUUUGGAAAGUUUUUUUACCCACCUAUACUAGUUUGAAAUUGUUUUUACAUUAAUUUUAUGUUUUUUUAACAAAAAGGCACCUAUCAAAAUUUAAUUCCAAAUUAAAAAGAAAAACAUAAAAAUAAAAAUAUUCACAAUAUAUAUAUAUAUAUAUAUAUAUAUAUAUAUAUCUUUUAUUUAUAAAUAGUUGGAAUUUUUUAAUUAAUUCAUGAUGGAAAAUAUUUUUAUUUUAUUUUGAAAAGUUAAAACCAAUAUAUUCAAAAACUUUGGUCAAUUUUUUAUUUCUUAUGAUGAUUUGUUGUCAUUUCUUCACAAUUUUUUAUUUUUUAAGCUAACUUUUUAUUUGUUCAUGCUAGAUUUGUUUUUCAACAUUUUUAUACAUUUUAAUUUUUCUGUUUAAUAUUUAUUUUAUUUUCAAAAUAUAAAGAAAAACCUAAGAAUAGAAAGAAGUUUUAUAUAAAGAUUAGAAAUGCUUGAUCGCAUCAGUUCAAAAUAUCAUAAAAAAAAAAAAAAAAAAAAAACAUGCAUAUGAAAAAAAUACACAUUUACUAUCAUGCUUGUUCAUCAAUGAAAAAAAUACACGUUUCCGCUCGGUUACCUCUGAGGGAUCCACAUCAUAAAACUCUGAGGGAUCCACAUCAUAAAAAACUGGCAGAACAGUUUGGCCCAUCUCUUUCAUGCACUGAACAAUCUUGACAAGUUCAUCCAAGCACCAUGGUGAAGAUGCGUAAUCUCCUGAAAAUAUAAUGACUGAAAACCUUGAUUCUUCAAUGGCCUUCCAGAGAGCAGGUUCGAUGGGCUUUCCUCUCUCGAGCUCCCUAUCAUCCAUGUACACAUCGAUGCCUCUCUGUUUCAGAUUAGAAUAUAGAUGACUAGUAAAGUUGUUCCGGGUGUCUUUGCCUCUAAAACUAAGGAACACAUCAUACAUAUACAGUGGAGGAGGAUAAGAUGAAGAUGAAGAUGAAGAUGAGGUUAUUCCUUGCACGCUGGUGGAAGCCAUGAAAAUCCCUAUAGCGAUAAACUAGUACCGUGUGUAAGGCCUGCUCCUGUGGUCAAACAUGAAACAGAAGGUAAGAUCAAGAAAUUUGGCAAUUAAAUCUACCAAUUAGUAAUUUCAAGCUGGAACAUAUCAGAAAACACCAAAUUUCUACGAGUAAUUCACGAAUCUAGACGAAACAAACCGUGUGGUAAGUGUUGGCUAAAGAGGCACAAGAUCUAGCCAAGCCCAAUGACGUCGAAUUUUUUUCCGGUUCCUUGAGGUCAAGAACUCGUACUGGUAAGUUUACACUGUAAAGAAGAUGGAGUUUCGGUGGAGAAAAAGCAAAAAGAGAAAUGAAAGGGAUAUCGAACGCGCAUUGGGCAGCAGAGGCACCUUCCUGUCAAAAGCAGGGGUUAGGCCACAUACAUCACAAUUGAGUUGAUUCAUAUUUUUUAAUGAAUUCUCAAGUCAAGCAUUCCAAGAACUUUUGUCAGGAUCUGCCACACACAUCACAAUGGAGUUUAAAAUACAUAUUCUUUAACUACUUUUGUCUCUUUUCCAGCGCAUAAAGCUUUUGCAUUCCGACAACUUUCCAACAAAAUUUUUAAAACUGACCUUGAAAUUAAACAAGAAAAAAACACCAUAAAGCAAAAGUUCUAAGGUGAAUCACAACAAUCGUGCGAAGAUUCAUAUACUGCUUGGAGUUGUUACAAUGGUUAAAAGUUAUUUAAAAAAGCUAAUUAUAUUUUAAUAUAUUUUAUAUUAAAUUAAUUUUAAUAUAAUUAUAUAAUUAUUUUUUAUAUAAUAUAAUCAUGUUAUACAAUUAAUAUAAAUAAUAUGAAAGUUAAAAGAAACAAUUUUUAGUUUUCUAUUAUAUUAUUAAAAAAUUUAGGCUUUGAGGUUUGCAGGCUUUUCUCCUUCUUGUUCUGUUUUUAAAGAGAAAAACAAAAGCCUAUUGUAGAUAAAGAAACAUUUUUUAAUCGAUUAAUUUAGUUUUUUACUUGAUAUAAUUUUUCCAAUGAACUUUUUUUUUUAUUUAAUUGAUUUUUUAGUUUUCUUGAGUAUCAAUAAUGCUUAAUAUACUGAAAAUCAGGAAACCAAAUACCUUGAUAAAGUCUGCAAAAAAGCAAAGGGAUGAUUUGAUAUUAUCAGUAAGGAUAAUCAUUCUAAAAUUGUUGCUUUUUCUUCUUUUUAGAUAUUCAAACAUAUAAAGAUUUUAUCCGGUUGCUUUAGGUCAAGAACUCGUACUGGUAAGUUUCCUGGAUUUUCCUAUGGAUCUUUUUCUUACACUGUAAAGAAGAUGAGUUUCGGUGGAGAAAAAGCAAAAAGAGAAAUGAAAGGGAUAGCGAACGCGCACUGGGCAGCAGUCAGCAGAGGCACCUUCCUGUCAAGAGCAGGGGUUGGCCCCACACAUCACAGUUGAGGUUUGCAGGCUUCUUUCUUCUUCUUGUUCUGUUUUUAAAGAGAAAAACAAAUGCCAACUGUAUAUAUACUUUCUCCUUGCAUUUGGUUUUUUUCUACAUAGAGAUGUAAAAAUAGUAUUUUAGUAGAAAAAAAUAGUAUUUUAGCUAUUCAAAUAGCUAUGCUCCAAUGACUUUAAAUUAUAAUUUGGAUGACAAAAUUUAACAAUGAAAGGCAUAAUAAAAUAUAAUCUAUAAUAAAUAUCAUAUUGAUAGCUUUGUUUUAAAUAUUUAUAUAAUUUUUUGGUCUAGUAGGAUCGAAAUGACCCUUCCAAUGUAUAAAUUAUAGUUGUUUAAAACAAUACAUUUAGUCCAAAAGUUAGAAAAUAGCUUUGUUUUAAAUAUUUAUAUUAUUUUUUUCACAUAAAAUAUAUUAAUUAACAAAAGCUAAAAUAUAUAGUGAAAUCACUGUAACUGGUAAAACACUGGAGGUUUUAUCUUUGGUUUGUUGGAAAGUAAAGUUGUUUUUUAGAGCUGUUUUGGUCCUUUGAUUUAUUUGUUCAAUUCACAUACGCACUUUGAUUUACAGUUGGUUAGAAAAAAAUAAAUUGUUCAUCUCUAUGGUUUUGGGAUUCUCAAUGAAUUGAUAAUGAGGUCAACGACAGUGACUGUAUACCUUCAUUCGACUUCAUUUUUAUCAGGUAACAGUAAUCUUUUUGUUUUCACCUAUAUGAUAUUUUAGUUUAAAAUCUAUUUAGGGUACUAAAUACUAAUAUGAACAAGCUGCUAUAAUGUUUUUAGUUUAAGAAAAAAAAAAAGCUUUAAAAACUUUAUUUUAACCAUGAUUUUUUAUUUUCAAAAUUUUUUUCAUUUAAAAAUACAUUAAAAUAAUAUUCUGAAGAUCAACAAACCAAAACAAUUUUAAAAUAUAAAAAAUAAUUUAUAUUUUUUUAAAAAUAAAAAAAUAAAAAACAUAGUUUUAACUGUAUUUCUAAAUGAUCUUUUCAAAUAAUAGCAACUUUUUAUUAUCCAAAAAAAGAAGUUUGAAUUAUCCAGAAAACCAUGACCAGAUCUGGAGAAGGGUUCCUUCACUCUAGAAGAUGAGUGGCCUUUGUUAAUUUUGUAGUCAAGUGAAAACAAACUAUAUUAGAUUCUUAGAACCCUUUCUUGAUCAAUUGGUUAAUUUCUGUUAGCCAAUGCUAUACUGUGGGCAUGAUUCCUAUUUUCUGUUAGCCAAUGCCAUUUUCAAUCAUUUUCAGCAAAAAAAAAAACCAACGAACAACGUACUAAAUGAUGCAAUCAAUGACAAAAAGUAUGAGGAUAAAGAAAGGAAUCACUAUUAAUAAUUUUGUUAGACUAUUAUGAAUGAAAGGACACUUUAAUGUAUGAAAUGCUAGCUAUAAUUAUUUCCACGAAAUGUAUGUUUCUAAAACUCAAUAUUUAUAUUUUUCAAAUCACUUCACGUACGUCUGCUACAAAGAACAUUCAUCACAUUAAAUUAAUACGACUUAAACAACUGCUACUUGGCCAAGCUGUUGGGUCACGACUUAAACAACGAAGACCAAGCUGUUGGUCUCUACUCUCUACUUCGCACGUCCUCGGGAAGCAUAUCCUUAGAAUGGAGAGCUGGCCACACGAGACAGUUGCUACCUGGCCAAGCUGUUAGGUCACGACUAAAACAACGAAGACCAAACAAUUGUUAUUAGUAUGGUGCUAUCCUUUGUCACAAAUUGUUAAUUAUAUAAUGCCUACCAUUUCUUAAUUAUAAAUUGUCAGUAAAACACAUAUCAUAACAACACCUACCUAGCUAUCUUAUAAAUUAAUAGAACACCGUAUACAUAAACAACUCAUUUUACAUGUUAUCUAUGCAUAAUAUAUCUGUUGUUGCACUCUUUCCGAGCUAAUUUCAUGUGACAUGAGAUAUACAUAAAUAUUUAAGAUUACUAAGUAACAAACACACAAAUAACAAUUCUUUUAAGUUCUUCUUCUCAUUGUUAUACAUUAUUUUUCUCAUGUGUGUUUGUUAACAUAGUCAUCACAGAGUUCCCUGUUCCAUGAAAAACUUGUUUUUGUAGGAGUUCAUGAACCACAAGCCUAACCCAAUUAGAAAAUUUCAAAAUUCAUUACCUAGGUUUAAUUUGAUGAAUUUUCAACUUCGUCAAUAACGCCUUCUGUUGGAACUAGAAGAAAAGCUAGUUUAGUCCCUUUUCUUUUCUAGUUCUUUCCAUUGAUGAUAACUUAGAAAUGACAGGACAAGGGAGAGGUAACGAUCUCCCCACUACAGGAGCACCAUCUCCUUCAACAAAUCCCUCAUUGCAUGAAAUUGCUCAGUAAAGUUAUUUUAGCCACAUAAGAAUUGAUCAGUAAGGGAAAAUAUGCAUGUUUUUUUUUUCUGUUUUAGUUUAGUUUAGUUUAGUUAUUUCUUUUUAAUGUGAAUUGAUCACAGUGUUAAUUUUAUGCUUUUAUGAGUUUAAUCUUCUAUUUAAUUUCUAAAAUGAUCAAUUACAUUUGAGGGAAAAGAAUUAAUCACUGGUAGGCCUUAAUCUUAUUUAUUCUUUUAUUUUUUAGUCCUUUUAAAUUAUUAAUCCAUUUCUUAUUUUUAUGAAUUUUUUUUUUAACAUAGAAGAGAAUAUCUCAAAAUUAAUAACCAAAAUUAUAGCAUCAAUGAGGAAAGGGCUAACGAUAUGGGAUGGAUUAAUAGAAGAAUGGUUGGAUUAAUAAAUCUCAAAGAUAGAGGCCUUAUUAAAACAAAAUCAAUAACAUAAGAACUUUAAGCUCAUUAACCCCCGUAUUACUAAAUAACGAAAGGAAAUCCCAGCCAUUUUUUAUGUAAAAAUUGAACUCUCGUAAUUGAGGCCGCUAUUUUAUUAUGUAAAAACUCACACGGAGGAAAAGAACCAACCAUCAGCGGCAUCACCCUCUUUGGGAUCUUGAUUUUCAUCGGAUUAGCACCCAGCACAUCAAGUUGGCUCGACAGGACUGCCAAGGUACUGUGAUUCUGAAUAAUUAUUUUGCUAUGCAUCAAAUAAUUGCGGCUGCAGCUGAUAAUCCACCAUAUAUUGGGUCGCAUGUGGGAUAUUUUUGUUUAUUAAUUAAUAAAAAAUAAUAAUUAUAGAGGUUUAUUAAUUAAUAAAAAAAAUACCUUCCCAAAUUCAUAUUCUAUUUAAAAGCAUGCAACAUCACAUGGGUUCUGCAGAAAUUAAUCGUGGCAGGUAACACCAAAUGGCUUCACGUGGGUUCUACAACAAUAACUCAUAGCAGGCAACAUUACAUGGGUUCACAUGGGAUCUGCAGCAAUAACUCAUGGUUUCUCAGCAUAGACAUUUUGACUUUUUCCACGCCUAUAAAAAAGGACUCCAAAUUUUUCAGAGGACAAACUAUCUUUUUCCCCAAGAAAAUUUUACUCUCUAAAAACUCAUAUUUGUAACCCAUACUCAUUCACCACUGUAACCAAUAUCUCCUGUAUUGUUCUAUAUUAUAAAUUUAAGUAAGAUUUUAGUAAUUAUAAUAUUAUUAUAAUUUAUAUUGCUGUUAUAUUUUCUGUUUUAUACAAAUAUAUUAUCUGUUUGAUCAAGGAUCCUGAUAUUACUGGUCUUGCCUUGAUCAUUCACAUCAGAAAUUUGUAUGUUUUUAUAAGUAUCCAUUUUCUUGUUACUUUAACAAAAAUCAGUAUAUAUGUUGGAAACCUGUGACUCGAUUUUUCAGAUAAUUUUCAGGUAUAACAACGAUACGUACUGAGUUUUAUUUCUUUAUUUCUUUUUUUGUGUUUAUCUGCUAUAUAUUAUUUCAAGUUGGAUGAAAACAAGCAAUAAACAAGGAAGUAAUUGGACCAACAUAAUCAUUGAAAGUAAUUCAUACAAUUCGUUGAAUAAAAAGCUAACCCUCCACAAUUCGCAGUACUCAUUCACAGUAGUAAUCACCCAUAAUCAAAAUAAGAAAAAUAAGUCCCACCAAUUUUAUAGCUCCUACAUAUUUUUUUAUUAAAAGAUUGAUCUUAAGAAAAUUAUAUAAUUAACUGAGAUUAAAAAAAAACAUUAAAUUAAAUCCAAAAACCAUUCCUCGCCACUACAACCUUAAUUUUCACAGCUCCAUCCUGGUAACAAAAUAUAAAAUGUUUUUUUUUAAGAAAAAAUAAUUAUAAAAAAUUUAAUUAAAUCCCAAACACAAUUUCAACCAUCAAUACAAACAUGAUGGAUUCCUCUAUCAUCAACCAUUUUUUUUAUAAAAUCUCAAAUAGUAAAUAAAAAAAUUCAAAACAACAUAAAAAAUGGAUUCUUUUUAAAUAUUAUCCAAAAACAAGAGAAUUUGGGUUAGUGAGUUGUGAGGGGUUAAUGAGUUUGAGGGAUCGUAUACUAUUGAUUUUGUCUUUGAAAGUUUUUGAGUCCAAUCAUUAUACUAUUAUUUGUCCAUGCCUUUGAUCUCUCCGUGGCUAACAAUGUUAUUUGCCCAAUAACUUUAAAAUAUUCUUUGGAAUAUACUUUCAUACUUAAAAAAAUAAUAAAAAAGAAAGAAUUGAUUAAGAGCUAAAAAAGGCUUUAAACAACAAAUAAAAAAGAUAAAACCAAAAACAUAAAAUUGAAACCAACAAGUCCAACCAAUUUUUUCUUUCCUUCAUUUAUAAUUACAUGUUUAUUAAUUAAAAAACAUGCAACAAAAAUUUAAUUAUGAGAUCGAGUAAAAUAAAAAAUAAAAAACACGGUAUACAUAAUUAUAUAUACAUAAAAGUCCUCGGCACUGCAACGACUACAUCAGCGGCAUCACCCUCUUUGGGAUCUUGAUUUUCAUCGGAUUAGCACACAACACAUCAAGUUGGCUGGAAAGGAGUGCCGAGGUGUGAUUCUGAAUAAUUAAUUUGCUAUGCAUCAAAUAAUUGUGGCUGCAGCUGAUAAUCCACCUGGUUUGACAUCAAAUGAUAAUUCACAUCGUUUUUUUGAAGGAUUGUGCUGCAAGUGGUAGCCGACUUGGUUGACCGAAUAGGCUGUGGACCAAGGAGAUCAAUUUCCAGGAAAUCCAUUUCAUUUGAUUGUGGUUCCUCCAGGCCACGGAUAUCUGCUGUGGAGUGUGGACGAAGGAGAUCAAUUUCCAGGAAAUCCAUUUCAUUUAAUUGGGGUUCCUGUUCAUAGACAGGGGGUGAAAGCGAAUGCAACCAUGUGCCUGAUGUGAUUGUAAUUUUGUUUUUAUUAUUAACAUGAGUAUUAGAGCAAUUUCUAUAUAUCAUGAUUAAUUAUACAGGCUUUAAAAUUAAUAAUUAUAUAAAUUAUUAAUAGCUGUAAAGUUUAUUUGAGAUAGCUAAUUGAAGUUAAAGGCAAGAUAAUUAUUAAGAGUGUUUAUUGUCCUAUUCAUUUCAUAAAAACAUAAUCUGAAAUAAACUAAAAAUCAAUUCAACCAGCUUUAAUUAGAUUCAUUUGAAAUCAAGAAACCAAACAGCUUGAUAAGACCUGCAAAAAGCUAAGGGAUAAUUUGAUAUUAAGGAUAAUCUAAUUAAAGGAAGUUUACUUUUCAAAAAAAAAAUGAGAUGAAACAAUUACAAACAUGUAGUAUAAUUUCAAUUCACAAAAGAAAAAAAAAAGGGUCAUCUCAGUGGAACAACAUAAAAAAGCAAAAGAAAGUUUUUUCAAAAGUGAAUGAAUGAUCAAUGUUUUUUAUUUUUUUCAAAAGCUUCUAUAUAAUAAUAAAUAAUAACAGGAAUAUAAAAAUAAUGACUAGUCCCUGACUUGAUGUAGUUCAAUCCGUUUUAGAAUUUUAAAACUGAAAUUAAAUCGAAUCGAAGUUUUUUUUUUUAAAAUUAGUUUUUUAAGUUUUUUUUCACACAAAAUAACGAAAAAGGUCUGCUCAGUGGGACAACAUAAAAAAGGAAACGAAAAAUUUGGUCAAAAGUGCAUAAAUGAAUUGACACAAACAUGGGUAAAUUCAGGGGUUUUGUGUUGUGCCGGUGGUGGAAACAGUUUUUGUUGCUUGUAAAUAUGCUCAAGACUUGUAUAGAGCAUCACUUUCGAGUUGUGUACGGUGAUCUUUGUGAUAUCUAUCCAUUAAUAUAUAGUAUUUAAUUUUCGAGAUGAUAUAUUAUUUUAAAUAAAAUAUGUAAUAAUUAAAAGAAUAAGAAUCAAAUUUGAUAAAUAAAAAAUUUUAAUUAAAAAAUAAUAAGAGAAAAGUAAAUAACAAUCAUAAAAAUAAAAAUAAAAAUUAAUAUAAAAAUCAAAUUAAAUCAAAUUUGAAGGGAUAAAAUUAAAAAAAAAAAGAUUCAAACAAAAUAUAUAGCAAUCAAAAGUUUGAGGAUCAAAUUUGACAUAAUUAGCAAGUAAUAUGAUAUUUCUAAAUUUUUCACAACUUUUAGAAAGUGUUUUCGGCCUAAAAUAAAAGAAAAAUACUUUCCUGAAAAUCAAGCUAAAUUUUUCGUUGAUCAGAAAGUUUUUUUUAUUGAUCAACUUUUUUAAUAAUAAAUAAACAUAAAAAAAUUUGGAAAAUAAUUUCCCAAAAACACUUUCCAAUAAACACACCCUACAUAAACAACUCAUUUUAGAUGUUAUCUAUGCAUAAUAUAUCUGGUGUUGCACUCUUUCCAAGCUAAUUUCAUGUGAUAUGAGAUAUAUAAAUAUUUAAGAUUAGUAAGUAACAAACAUACACAAAUAACAAUUCAAAAUCACACCCAUGAACAAUCACACAAUACACUCUUUUAAGUUCUUCUUUUCAUUGUUAUACAUUAUUUUAAGCAACAAUCUCUUAUCCAGGGAUUUACUAUAGUCGUAUUUGAUGGGCACAUCGCAGAAGCUUCCAAUAAAUGCAGUUUGGAGUUAUUUUAUUAUUCAUAAUAAUAAAGUGUAACAAGGGGCUCUAUAUUCAGUUAAACAAAUAGAACGCAGAAGGUGAUAAAUGUUAAUAUUUCAUUUCAAAAGCUUCAAUGUAGAUUUUUUUUUUCAAGAGCAUUUGAUGUGCAGCGUUAUAUUUAACCCCCACUCUUAUCACGUUUAAUUAGUAUUUAAAUUAAAUAUAAAUAUAGAAGUUCUUAUGAUUGAUGCUGCUAUCCACUGAGAGAUUACGAUGAAAAGAAAAGAAAUUAAACCUCGUCGUAUUAUAGAAAUACUGGGCACAACUUUUGUUACCCCUAAAUUAUUAUACAAGCUCGACUCACCAUUACCUCAUAUUCAUCCAUGUAGGUUAUGGUGAGCUGGACUCAUCUAAUAUAGUAAUAUUAACAUAAAAUCUUACCAAGUUAAAAUUUGCAAAGGUAUUUUUUUAAAAAAAAUUCUACAUGUUUUUUUUUAUCUUUCAACAUUUCCCUUCUUAAAGAUCGAGCUUCAUAAUUUAUUGAUGUUUUCUUUUUAUAAGAUUAUUUUAGUUUUAUGACCCGUAUUGCGAUUUUAGCCGGUAUUGCGAGUUUCGCAGAUUGACCUAGAUUUUUUUUUUUUUAAUUUCAUCAUUCAAUAUUGGAUUGAUUAUGAAUUAAGCUUCAUGAUUUAAUUCAGUUUAUUUUCUAUUUUUUUCAAAAAUUAUAGUUUAUGAUAACACUUUAUAUCCUCACUAACACAUAUAAAAAAGUCCUACAAAAAUAUCUAAUUAUUAACAAAAUUAUUAUUAUUAUUAUUAAACUAAUAACUAUAAAGUUCUUAUUUUAAAUAUUAUAAAUUUUUCAUUGAAUUAAAAAAAAAAACUUAGUCACCACCCUCUUAACCAAACCAAAAAACAAAAGAAAUCCAUAAAUCAAGUUUAGAAUCUCAAACUUCAAUAUUCCUAUCACAAACAACCAACUUUGAUGUUCCCAUCACAAACACUAAUUCCUCUCCCAUUGCAAUUAUUCCAUCUCAAACCUUUGACUAGGGAGUGUUUAUUUAGUUAAACUCAAUUAUUUCUUGGGUCUAGCCAGCGUUAGAUCCAACACGUGUUGGCUUGACACAUUACCAAUUAAGCUCAAUCAUGGUUAGGUCUAAUUAACGCUAGACCUAUCAAGAUUUGGAUAUGGCGGUGGCUAGACCUAGUCAUUUCUUGGGUCUAGCUAGUGCUAGAUCCACCGCGCCUAGGUCUGGCUAACACCAGACUCAAUAUGUUUGGGCUUGGCGCAUUGCUAUUUAUAAACGAAGCAAGUUCAAUUUUGGUGUAAAUAUUGAUGUAGAUUAUAUAUAUUAAUGUUUAUGUAUUUAUGUGUUUAUAUAGUUGUAAAUAUAAAUAAUAAAAAGUGUUGGCGCAUCUAAGAGAAAAGUAUAGAAGUUUAUUAAUUAAUUAAAAAAAAGUACCUCCCGAAAUUCAUUUUCUAUUUCAAAUCAUGCCUACCAAACCGACAAUUUGUUAGGCUUAUAAAAACAAACUAUUACUAAAUUAAUAUUUUUGAUAGGGUAUGGAUAUUGUGUAUUAAUAUUUACAUGUAUGUUGUGUUUGUUUAGAAUUUUGAAUAUAAAAAUGUUAAAAAUAUAUUUAACUAAAAAGAUAAAAAGAAAAUUAUAGAAUUCAAAACAUAAAUUAUAUUGUGAUAUAUUUUCUGUCUUUUUUUUUAUUGAAUUUAAAAAUAAUGAGUGAACUUGGAGCAAUCCAACCACAAAAAGAAAAUGACAUAGGGGGAGGGUAUGUACGUAGUGGGAGAAGCAACUAAAUAUAGGGGAAGAAAAAAACAUUCAGCUUAUUUACAAAUCAUUUUCAAAAGAAGGAAAAUUGAAAAACUCUAUUUCUGGCCUCUCAGGUAAAGGAACCUGAAUGAAGAAAUUAAACGAGAAAGGUUUUUUAAUUUUCCUGCAGGGAGAGAGAGAGAGAGAGAGAGAGAAACCUGAAGAGAGGAAAUUAGGGAUUAGGGAUUUGGAAGCAUUGGAAAUUUAUAUAAAAAAUAAUUAAAAAAAAAACAUUAUUAAAAGUCUAGCUAAUCAAUCAUAAGUCAUAACUUCAAAAGUGCAACGCAAAAAUUAGAGCAAUUUAAUUAUAGGCUCAAAUUGUACGUAAGAAAUUAAUCAGUUUCGGCUAUUUUAGCUUGUGACCAGCAGUACAUGCUAUACUACUAGCAGCAUCAUAUUAUAGGUUCAAUAUUUUUUGAAGCAUCUGCCUGUCCCAUAAAUCUCAAGAACAUGAACAAAAGCCAUGAACCUGGCUGCCUGCAGACAGGAAUGUUUCUGUAUCUGUUGGUAUUUAGCAAACAUAUCUGUCCAUAUAGACUUUGUUAAGCUCUAGUUUGUAAGUUUAUAUAAAUUGCUGCAAACUUCCUGUUCCCAUUUCCAUUUCCAAAGCCACGAGCUGCUCAACAACAUUGUAAUCAUUUUGCUUUCUCUUGUGAGACUGCUAUUGCUAAAAGAAUUAUCAAUAAAUAUCUUCCGAGAAGUGGUUUACAGAGAUGGACUUUCUUCCUCUUCUUCUGUUUACUCUUUCCCUUUCAUUUUUUCCCUUCCUACCAAGUAGAUAGGUGUUUAACUUGAAGAUUAUGAGGGUUAUUUUACGCCCGAAUCGUGUACAGUAUUUGUGAAGCUUAUUUUCUUAGCGAACUAUAUUGUUUUUCUUUUUGGUUUCUAGCUGUAUGGUUAUGGUGAUUAUGUCGCUUUCCAUGUCAUAGAAUCCGUGGAUAUCUGGGAAAAUCUCAUUCAUUGGGACUUCAAGCAUGCAGUUGUUGACAGCUUCCUUGAUUGUAGAUGAUGGGGAACGUUGUUUAACAAUUUGUUCUCUCUUUCCCAGUUCUCUAGUUCAAAAGAAAUGGAGAUGCCUAUCUUUAUGAUCUCGGCAGCACGCAUGGCACCUUUAUUAACAAGAAUCGGGUCAGCAAAAAUACGCUUUUUAUAUUUAAAUUGUAUGCGUUUCUUAAAAGGUCUGAUGCAAGUGAUUCACUGAUACUGUCGAGGGAACUUGUGAUGUGUGAUCCAUCACAUGUUAUCCAAUAUAAAUGUGGCAAAUAUUUGUUAGUAGUCUGUCAUACAGUUAUGUAAUCUUGCUUGAAUAGCAAGGACGCAUCAAUUGCUGUAAUGUAUCAUGUGUUGUAGGAAGUUGUCCGGAAAAUUCUUAGAGAUGCUAAGAUUCGGCAAGCCUCACUCCAACGAGCAAGGUUGGGAGCAGCUCUUGCUGAUGGUAUCUCAUGGGACAUGGGAGAAGUAGUUGCUAUUGAAGAAGCUGAGGUUAUUGUCAGUCCAUACAUUUUCUGGAUGUAAUCUUGUGAGAAUUAUUGUUUUUGGCUUUUUAUUACUGUCAGCAGAUACGACUUCUCUUUUGUCCACACUUUUCCCUAAGCUGCUCUGCAAUAAAUAUAGAACAAGUGAGAUUACCUUUGUAUGCACUUUUGUGUAAAGAGAAUUGCUUAAAACUAUUAUUUGUUCUGUAUGAAGCAUGCAUGUUGGACAAUAGUAGUGUUCAUUUAUAGUUGUCAACACUCUGCCAGCCUUACCUCCUUGUUUCCUCCUUGUACAGAAAUGAUGCUUUUUUAGAAAUCCAGAAAAAGAAAAAAGAUAAUCAUUGAGAAUUUGUUGUUCAAUCCCACCUAGGAACUUGAAGACCAACUAGUUUACGUACUCGUGUCAAAUUUACCUCCAGGUCUAUUUCAUUUUUUGGAAUUAUCUGGUAUACCAGAACUUCUAUAAAUCCUAAAUUAGACUCUUUUGCAUGAUAAAAAGCCGAUACUCUUCUCUGUUUGUUUAUGUUGUUUUGGAUAACUAGGAUGAUGUUGAUGAAGUAGCAUGGCACACUACAAAGGGCAGCUUACAGAGAAGCAGGAGAAAACCCGUGAUAAAAUAAUAAAAAGGUAAGUGGUUUUACGUUUCAUACUUCGAGUUCCUCAUUUCUAGAUAUUUGAUGUCAAACACAAUGAUGAUUUCGCUAGCCUUGAACACGAGACCAAUCUGCAUCCAGUUUUUCAAUCCCCUUCAGAUUUAUGUUCUAGUGUCAUUUAAAAUGUUCAUCCUGUUACCUAUACUCCAAAUCGAAGGGCUAUUUUUAGUGAUGACUUCUUUCCUUUUCUCUUUCUUCUCACUGUCAUGCCUUGCUUUUUCGCUGGUAUUAGAAGUGUUCAAUCUAAAUGGUUGUAUGGUUUAUUGAUGGAGAAGAAAAAACAUUUCAUCAUCGCUGCAUUAGUCGCUCAUUUCCUGAUUUUCUUGUCAGUGCUGAAUAAACUGUGCAGCUCGGAAAGGAACUAGCCUUUCUACAAUCUGAACUGGGCAGGAUCUUGUUUCUAUUGAAGAUUGCUGAUCCAUCAGGAGAAGCUGAUCAGAAAAGGGAUUCGCGAGUGAAGGAUAAGAAACCUGAUAAAGCAGAGGUGCCUGUUUCUGCCACCAAAAAGCAACCACCCACCCAGGGGACCAAAGAAAAGUAGUGCAUCGGGAAAAUUGACCGAUGUCUCCAGACUAGAUUGUCAUUGAUGUUUUUGGUGUUAAAAUGAAAAUUAUCAGGGUGUUAUAAUUAUAAAAUUUUUACUAUAUUAAAAUAGUAUUUGUAAAUAUUCAUGAUUAAUAUUCUAUUAAAACUGAACACUGAAAAAAAAAAUUAUUCUCAUAAACUGAAAUAUAAGAAAUACUUAGAAUUAAUAUGCAGAUGUUUGUCAAAUGAUAAGUAUAAUGAACUGACUCUUAAGAAAAUUUCAUAUAAAAAUAUCAUUUAUAUUCAUAGAAAGGCUCACGUGAUAAAUAUAUAAGUAAUCAUUAGAUUUGAAAUCACUAAAUUAUCAUAUAUAAAAAUUAUUAUAUUUUGAUCUUGACCACAUGUUAUCAUAAUCAAGGGUAACAAACAAUCAAAUAUUAGACAUAACAAAUAUUUCAAAAAAAAUUUGACAUCACAUUAAUCUUUUCAAGCAGUUACUCUAAAAAGUUACCUAAAACUUAUUUUAUAACUAAAACGUGCAAACACAAUAAACUCUCCUUGAACCUCAUUUAAAAACUUAUUUGAAUUUAUUAUGUUACUCACACUUGCAUCUUCUUCAUAUGGUUUAACUAAAAAGUUUUCAAAAAUUCAACAACUAAACGAGACAAAAUAGAGUCUUUCUUGAUUUUUUUUUCACAAACUCACUUGGACUUAUUGUAUAAAGUCCAUUUUCUUUCACACUAUUUUUUCUUGUUUUUAUGAUCAGGUCUUAGAGGUAAUCCAAUAAGUUAGAUAUUUCUAUUCUUAAAAAUAAAAGAACAUGAAUAUAAUUUACUAGAAAUAGUGAUGGCCAUAUCAUAUAGCCAUGACCUAUUCAAAAUGACAUAUUGUAUAUCUAUUGGAUUCAUAUCACACCAAAUUUUAUAAUGAUAAUCUAAGAAUUUGAUAGAAAAAAAAUAUAUUUCUCUGAUUGCUACUAAGGUGGUGUUAAUCCAUGAUAUGUUAUAUGACUUAUAAUAUGUAAUAGACUUUAAAUCUAAACGAGUUACAAUAUUAGAAAAUACUACAUUAAUACAACUUUUAUUAUCAAUGGUCAUUUUGCGACUUUUAUCCACACACUUGAUAUAGGUUUGAAAAAUAGCAAUCAUUCUCCAAUUUUCAGUUCUCUCGGGUAAUGUCAAGGCACAUUUGACUAUACCUAACCUAGUUGUCACAAACUCUAUAGUAUUAUACUCACGAUUGAUUCUAAAGAUAUCACUCAAGAUUGAGUCUAUAAUAAUUAUAAAUUUACAUGACAUAAAUACAAGCAACACUAGCUUAGCUUGUAGAUCACAAACAUAUCUUUUAAGUAAAAACACAAUACAAAAAUAAAGCUAUUUUUUUUAAAAAAUAUGAAGAUUAAUCAAGAUUAUAAUAUAUAUAAAAAACCUAUGAACAUGCAAUACUAAACCUUUAAAUGUAAAAGGGUCAACCAAACACUUAUCUCAACUUUUUACAAAUUUAGGCAACUUUGAUAAAUAAUAAAAAGGAUUAGUUGCUAAAUAUUAAUGACAAAGUUAGUUGAUAAGUAAAAAUAUAUAGAAUAAAAUGAAAGAUGGGAUUUUUCUCUAUUAAAUUUAUUUAUUUUAUAGGCAUAAAAAUAAUAUUAAUGACAACUUUGAAUAACAAGUACAAAAAUAGAAAAAUAAAAUUCAACUAAUCAAAAGAUUUUGUUAUUUAUCACCACCAUGCUUGACAGGAUCAUGCAAGUUAAGUUGUUAAUAAUGCAGGUAGCAACGCUCACUUAGUGUUGGAUAACUUGUCUGUUGAUGUCAUUAUUUUUUUAAAAAAAUUACUUUAAUUUUUUUACUACAAUUUUUUUAAUUAAGAUAGAAGAAAGAAGUAAAAAAAAUACAAAUAAAAAUAAUAAUUACAAAAUGGAAAUUUGGCAGAAGACUCAUUUAAUUCCAUUCUCUUUCAUGUCUCUCUCAGAGUUUGAUUUCCUGUGUUGUUAUGAUCCUCAUACAAAUGAACAGAGUAUGGCUAUUGCUGGUAUGGAUUGAUUUGUAAUGGUGAAUCUCAAAUGCGGCCAUCUGGUGGUUGUUAGUGUUUUGUUUUCUGUAUGUGGUGGUGGCUAAUGGGUGUUGCUUUGGUGGUUAAGAAGAUGCAUUGGAACUAUGGUGGGUCACAAUGAUCACAAGUCUCUUCAUUCAUUCUUGUUCAAUGCAAGAACCCAGCGAAGCCUAUUCCCAGAACAAAAUAAAUAUGCUUGCUAUACAACAGCAUUCAGAGCUGUGUCAAAACUCACAGACCAAAUGAAGAUCUUCAAUGCUUGACGACUCCUUUCUAGAUACUAUAUACAAUAGAGAGGUUAGUCUCUAGCAGGAAGUUCUUCAUUAGAUCACAGGUUUCCAUAGCCAGGCUUGGCAAGGAACAAAGAAUUAAUGACACCCAUAAAAGAAGGGGGCCACGUUGGUGUAGCAAUGAGAGGAGGAGCCCUUGCACUGAAUCAGUUAAAGAAAUAAGGUGAUUCCAACACUUCCCUCAGCUCAAAGUCUCCCCGGUCAGGCAAGGGCGGAAAAGACAACGUGGGAAAAGACUUUUCAAAGCUCUCCAACAACUGCAUACAAAUCCAACAGUAUAAAUGAUGAGUUCUGCUAAAAAAGAAAAAACCCUCAGACUUGGAUUUGACACUGCACAAUUCUUUUAAAUGCUAAUUCAAGUUGAAAUUUAUAGGCAUUUUGUUUUAUCCCAAAACAUAAUUGAAACAGCAGAUGAGAACAUAUUAUAAGGAAUGCUUUAAUUAACUGCAACAAGUGUUGUUUCUUUAAACAUAUGGUACGUAUCUCUUUUCUUUGUUUUUUUAUUCACAACCAAAACAACCGCAAUCGAAUAAAGCUAGUAAAAAAUAGUUAAUUUCCUCUUAUCCGCUCUGCCAAAUAAACUUCAAAAAUAUUGCAUUGGGUUUUUGCCUCCUGCAAAUAUAUAAUGAUGCCAAUGAAGGGGCCAUUGCCCUUAUAAGUUUUAGAACAAUAUAGCAGUGCUAAUACUUACAUUCUCCAAUAUAGGUGUUUCAUAGAGUUCAACAAAUUUUUCCCUCAGUAUCCUGUUCAUUUCUUCCACAUCACAUGCAUGCGUCCAAUAUGAAUCGUGAACUCCUGUGAUGGUAUGCCAAUAUGCAGUAAUGAGAAAUCAAAACUAGGAAUAGGACAGCAAUUGAGACAAAAUCCAGCUAUGAGUGAGAAACCUGCAAAGUUUAAGCCUGCCCCUUUGCAGGCAACUGCAGUCAUCAUCAUAUGAGAACUAUCAAGGGAAUGAACAAAAUUUGGUGGGAAAGCUGUUCCCCCUUUGUUUUAGUAUUUUGGUCACAGUCCAGACUAAAUAAAGUAAAAGAACUGCCAAACUUUGAGAUCCAAGAGCCAGAAGGUACAACCUUUUCCCCCUUUGUUUUAGUAUUUUGGUCACAGUCCAGACUAAAUAAAGAAAAAAAUCAGGGCAAUUUAGCUAGACAAAAAGCCAAGGCACCCACUGAAGCCUACCAGAAAUCAUGUUCAGAAAAAUUGGUUCAGAAAAUUGGGAAACAGCUAGCAGAAUGUACCAAUGUAUACUAUAUCUGUGAUGUUUUGUAAUAAAAAGGAAUGAGAAAAUACAAUAAAGCCCUUGGAGGCUUAAAGAGAGGGUAAAUGAUUGAAGGGUAUUGUGGUAAUUGACCAAUAGUUGAUAAAUAUAUAUAAGAAAAAAAAAAAAAAGAAUGAUCUGAUUUUGAGAGAAAGAGAGUUACGGGAGAAGAGAAGAAAAGAGGAAGAAGAAGAAAAGAAAGGAGAGAAGGAAAGAAAGGAGAAAAGAAGUAGAGGAAAUAAGUAAAAAGGUAAGAUUUAUGGUUUUAAGUGUAUAAUAUGUUAAAUUUCGGUUUUGAUUAAUUUUGAGAGUUUUGAAGUUUGUAUUUUGAGUUAAUUGAUGAAUUAGUUUGAAUUAAGGGGUUGAUUGAUGUGGAUAUUUGAUUAAUUAGUUGAUUUUGAGAGAUUGAAUUAAAGGAUAAUGAUUUUGAGUUAUGAUUUUGUUUAAAUGGUGAAAUUGUGUUAGAAAUCAGGGGAUAACAGUAGGUGAUCUGUUGAAAUUCUGAGUUUGAGGUUGAAGAUGACGAAAAUUCAGUUUGGUCCCUCAAUUUAUGGAAAUUGCAGUUUAGUCCCCGAACUUUGGAAAUUUUACAGAUUGGUCCCUGGGGCAUAAAUUGAGGUUCUGAACAGAACUGAGGAUGAUUUAAGGACAAAAUUCCAGUAUAAUUAAUAUUUUCAGUUUGGUCCUCCAAUUUGACAAAAAGUAUAAUUUGACCCUAAAAAUUUGGUAAAGUUCCAGAAUGGUCCUUGGAGCAUAAUGAUAUAUCCUGGACAGAAUUGAGGAUUAAUUAUGGACAGAAUUUCAGUAUGGUUAUAUAUUUACAAUUCAGUCCUCAAAUUUUGGUAAAAUUACGUUUUGGUCCCUGUUUUGGAAAAUUGUCGUUUUAGUCCCUAAACUUGGGAGAUUAAGCCCGGUUUAUUUUAUGCUUUGGGAUCUUUUGUUUGAUCUGUUUUUGAGUAUAUUUCAUAUAUUUAUUGUAGGUUCUCCUAACGAUCCUUAAUCGAUUUCCGGGUCUUUUGUCUGACAUUCCUUUUAGUUCUAUAUUGUCCGGGUGAGUGAAUAAUCUUUAAUAUGCAUAUAAUAUAAAUAAAUAUGUAUGUUGAUUAUACAAUGAGUACGACUAGUAAGUUUCUUGAAUAUUUAUAUAUGUUGCUUUAUUUUUCGAGUACUCAUUUAUUCUUGAAUUUGCAUUCGCAAUCUGUCAAAGUAAAUUCUAUUUGAUAUGAUAUACGUUUCUUUGAUGAUUAUGUGAAUAUCUGUUAUGCCUUGAUAUGGGACUUGUCAGUACUCCAUGCUAACGGAGAAUAGUUAGCCUGUGUGCACAUAGUAUUCUGUUACCUAGCUGGUGAGAGAGGCAUCAGCCUGUGGCAUUGAUCAUCCCAUAGUGGUCACCGACGGGUGUCAUCUGGUCACCGACGGGUGUCAUCUGGUCACCUUCGGGUGUCAUCUGAUCUCUGACAUGUAAUCCACUACGUUAUGAUAAUAUGUUACGUUAUGAUAAUAUGUUUAGUAAGUAUAUGUAUACGUAUAUGUAUAUUAAGAUAAAUCAUCUUACAAAUUAUAAUAUCUGAAAUAUCUGAAAUGUAUAUUAAAUGUUAUUCCCCUCACUGAGUUGGUUGAACUCACCCUCAUUUUUAAUAUUAUUUCAGGUUCUUAUUCUUAGUUUCUGAUAGCAGUUGGACUUUGUUGAGUGUUUCCGCUUCUUCAGUUCUGGUCGGUAUGCCUUGCUUGUUCGCGAGGUUUUCCUUUCAGUUUUGAUUUGAUGUCUUAGACGCUCCACUAUUACCUUAUUUUAAUUACGUUUGGAUUUUGACAAUGUAAAUGUAUUAUGAAUUAUUAUUUUUGUUUUAAUAACUAUCUUUCGGUUUUAUCAGUAUUUGAAUAAUAUAAUAUUUCUGAAUAUUAUGAGCCGCUGCGUAUUUUGGAACAAAUUGUUCUUUUGAUAUGUCUGUUCUGAGGCUUAGCGUAGGUGAGGUGUCCUUUCGACACCGCUCCUGCGUUGCCGGUCACGGAUCCGGGAUUCGGGUCGUGACAAUAUCCUCAAACAACAUUUCAGCAAUAAAAACAGGUUAUUUCAGAUUUUUCACAAUUUCUUGUGUUAUCAAAAUCUUAGCACAGACUCGAAGUCAAAGUAAAUAUUAUGGAAUCUUGAUUAUCAAAGCAGAAACGAGCAACAAAGAUAAGUAACGUUACCUUGUCAGUUUCUUUUUGUAGUAUUAAAACCUGUAGGGAAGUUUUGAUCUGCAGCAAUUGCACAAAAGGAAGAUAAGAGUACUCAAAAUGCCCUCUCUAUCGAUAUGAAUGUAACAAAAUGCGAAUCAUUUUUUUUUUUUCCUGUCAGUACUAUAUGAUCUACUAUGCUUCUGCAAAUGUUAUAGAACUCACACUUCGCGUCCCUAAUUUACGAUAAGGUUGUACAACAGGAAGUCCUAGGGGAGUUGUCCACCGCACUGGCUCAUUUUCAGAUGCGAUAAUCUGGUCAGGUAAAAUGCAAAGAGAAAAUGUAAACAGAAUGUCAGUUGUUGGUAUAGAAACUAGAUAAAAAAAUAACCAAAAAAGGAAAAUCAACAUAAAGGAAAAACAAAUAAAUUGAGACAGACUCACCUUUGCACAAUCCCCAAGCCAGUUCAUGAUACUUCGUGCAGCUUCAAACAUCUCUCCUAAGGCAGUUAAGGUCACCUGAUCAAGCAACAAUAUAAAAUAUUGUCAGUGACAUGUUCUAUGAAAAAGAGUAAAGCUAAGGAAUUAUGAAUCAUCACUGUUGGGACGCUCCCUUCACACCUUUGCAGCAUAGCAAGAACAACCAAAGAUAUCUGACUCCUCUGUGAUACCACGCUCCUUUAACCUCCUUUUGAUCUGGUCUCUAGCACCAAUGUAAGUUACACCAUAUACAGAUGUCAUCACUGUCUGUUUCACCAAUUUCCUAUCCACCUAGAUGGAGUCAAACCACCAUUAGUUUGAAAGUAAAAGAACUUAUUCACAUUGAAAAAUGGCAAGGUACACCCUAUCUUUUGAAUGGGCCAAAAAAAAAAGGAAAAGCAUGAAACAGUGUUGACCCAAUAGUAACUAAGCAAUCCCUUAGUGACAGGAGACCACUAUGAUCAACAAUCAAAGCAUGCAAAAAACCUGGUUUAUUAAUUCUUUUGCACGCAAUGCAUCAGGAAAAACAUCUGGAUCUUUCUGUGCAUCCCUCCGCAUGAUAUCAAGUACUCUGCUUCGCAAAAGUGCAUGUUUAUCAUAGCAUCCUUUUGCAGAUAUCUGCUUGCUUCACAUCUAGAAAUGCACUACAGAAAUAUAGGAUUGAAAAAGAAAAAUUCUUGUAGAGGCUUUACAAAUUUGGCUCCAAUCAAACAUAUCCAAUGAAUACUACAGGACUUUGACUACUGCACAUGAAGGGCUAACAUAUUUAUCUGGUCAAAGGCCAUGAAAUAAGAGCAUUGCUGACUAAAGUUUUGCUUUGAUUGAAUUGAAACAAAUUAAAGUUCCUAAUUUAAGCAGAAAUAUGAAGCUUCAAUUGGAUGUUACUACUUCAUUACAAAUACCUGGAUUUCCUUGAAAGCCAGAAAACUCGGCCAGUGAAAUACAUUCUUCUUUUAGUUUUGUGAGAGUAGGGCUUCCAAACUCUUAGUCUUUGGGAUGAUAAUGUUAAUUGCAGAUUUCUAUUCGAUCCAAUACAUGCUGGUAGGUAUGCUUCAGAAAAACUCGGACCCAAUUAGGAAGCAUUUUUGGUUUAUAUCCCUAGGAUCAUAUUUGCGGGUCAUCCUAUUAAGAGUUGGUUAUAAAUCUAAAAAUUCAGAUUCUGUCCUCAUGUAAUUAAAUGGAACUUCAGAUUUAAAGAAGAGUAUCCCUUUAUUAAGCCCUCUAACCAAGAGUUUCCACAAUUUUCAGCACAAGUUCUUUAGUUCCUCAAAAAAUCUCUGCGUUUUCAAAUCUUCGACCUAAUCUUUAAAUCAGUCUGAGUAAAAACAACCAGCUCCAUUGGUUUGCUUCAACAAAAGCUCAUCUUAGCUCAAAUCUUUUCUACUGUAUCAUGAGGAAACCCCUUACCUAGCAGCUAUUCCCGAGUAGACAUCUGCAGGCUUCUCUCCUGCAACUAGAUUAACAGCAGCUGCUCCCAACUGUUCAAGAUUCCAAUGAUUUAACAAAAGCAGAGGGAUUCAAAAUAUAAUCAAAUGCAUUACUUUCCUAUUCAAAAAUAAAAACGAAGUUCAAAAAAUAAAAGUUUGCAGACCACUUCUAAAAAACACGACUUGAAUUCAACAAUGAUUGGCAUCAGCACAGUGCCUUAGGAAACGAAAAUCAGACAAAAAGAUGGUUUUGUUUAUCAGCAGUAAUCAUAAAGAAAAGAAAAACUUCAUAACAUCAUCCAAUUCAAGUUAAGGACGUUACCUUGUCUCUUCCAAGUGCAGCGUAGUGUUGUAGGCCAUUGCAGGAACCAUCCUACAAAAAACCAUAAGAGGGAAGGUGUACAUCAGAAGGCAGAACAGGUUAUGAGAAAAAUUAUAGGCCAGAAGAACAAAGAUAAGCCCAGGGAAGAGUACUUAAGUUGAUUGUCCCACAUAGUCCAACAGUUUUUUAUGUAAUAGAACCAAUAGAAACCACUUAAGCUUAUCAUUUUAUUUGUUUUCCUAAAGCAUACAAGGUACAAUAACAAAGAAUUUUGACUCUCCUUUUACCAUUCAUCUUCCUAACACCUCUGCCUCUCUCAAUCCAUUCCCUAACAUUCCAGUAAAAUUGUGCUCAAUUGGGUAGGAUGCUUUACAAUCCUUAAAAAAUGUCCAUAAAAAGUUUAUAUGAGCACAAUGCAAUACAUUGAUAAGAUAUACCUGAUGAACAGGAAUAUGUGAAAUAUAUGUUUCUGGCGAGGAGCUUCUCAAAGCUUCAGUCAGGUUAAUGCACACAGCCAAGAACUGAAAUGGAUCUUCUGCAUGCAACCACCAACGCUUUCCGUCAAGUGGUUUGUCUGCAGAAUCAAAUAUAUCAUCAAGGUGAUUCUCAGUAAAAGCUAUCCGUCCCUCAUAAGAUAGCUUGUCUACACCACCAGCAAAUAGAUUUGCAAUGUGUAUCUUCAGCCAGCGUAAGCCUGACUUUCCAAGAGGGCAUCCCUCUGCGAACUCCAAAAUCCCCCGGCACAGAUCUGAUCCAAGAUGGUUUAAGUAUGGGUGCAUGGGGUAGGCACGCCCACGAAAGUCAAUAUUGUGUGGAUAAUAGAAACCUUCUUCAUCUUUCAUCUUCCGUGCUACCUGGAGCCAAUUAAGAAUGAUGGCAUGAACGCCAUCAAGAAGAUUGAAAGUGUACUGUCUAAAAUAAAGUAAAAUGAGUCUUACAGCAAGUUUAAGUUCUAUGUCACAACGCUGUGCAUGUCUUUCCCUGUUCUCUUUUUUCACUCCUCUGAGUUUCCACUUCCACUUCUUAAGUAGUGCUUCAUCUUCUGUUUCUGGCUUCUCAGGCAAAGGAACCUGAAAUAAAGAAAUUAAAUGAGAAAGGUUUUUUAGUUGCUAUAGACAUCAUGAUCAAUUCUUGGAAUACAAAGGUAAAGGUAAAGGAGUUUAUCAGAAAAAAAAAAGUUACAUUGAGGAAAGUUAGAAAAGAUACUCACAUCACUGUGGUCUACCAAAUCAGCAAGAUGACCUCCAUUACUCCAUAUUCUAUCAACAACACUAAGUACCCUCUUAUUUACCCUCCAUCUGGUAUUCCCUAGUGUAUCCAGGGCCUGGAAAAUUAAUUCAAACAAAAGAGAAUCCUUGUUAAACCAGAAGCUAAGCUGGUAAAAUCUACACAUGUGAUAGCAUGUGAAGGUAUACACAAUUAUCAGUAUAAGAUUGUGUUCAAAGAACAUCACAUGUUAGUACCAAAAGAUGAUUUAGUUCAAACAAUAAAAUACGCAUCAGUAACCAUGCAAUGCAUCUAAUGUGUACAGACCUCAAAAACUGGUCGUAGCUGCUUCCUAGGUGCCCUCUUAACUGCUUCACGUUGCUGUUUAGCACCAUGUAUCCGCAUGACAUAGGAUGGUAAGAACAAGUGAGCUCCUUUAUCAUAACUGCAAAGGGCAUUGAGGUUAUGCUCGACAUGAGUAAGAGAGAGGUAAAUAUCACAAGCUAUGACACAAUUAUCUAAGAAGAGCUUAGAACACACCAAAAAGCUACUUAAAUGUCAGGUCCUGAUUUGUUACUAGAAGCAAUAGUGGUGUUAAGAGUUGCUACAACUACAUGGGAACCAGAAUCCAACCACAAACUCAUUAAAUGCCAGAUUAAAGUAGCGUAUGUAAGGAACAUGUAUGAAGAAUUUGUAUCUUCCAAAUUUGUAUACAAGGAUCUAAAAUUAAUUUUAGUGGGGACUAUGCUAAUGUGCCUCCUGCAACUUGCAUGAUGAUUGAGUGAAAUAGCCAAGACCCACUAUAAACUUGCUGGUAAACAAAGUGCUCUUUCCCCAAAACCAAUUCAUGAAAUGGUUUUCGUCUGAUGCUCCAUCUGAUCAAAUUAAGAUAUUCAGAGUGCAAUCACUGGUUUAAAUCUUUUCUUUUUGUAGAUAGAAAGUGUGUCCAAGAAUCUCAGUCCUAAUGGGCAAUUUACAACCAAAAGCGCUAGGGAGCUUAUCAGAUUUAAAGGCAAUAGGUUGAAUGGCAGAAGCUGCCAUAGAGGCCUCUUCAUAUUCCAAAGCAUGUGUAGUUUUUCCAAUGAGGAUUGUGAUCACCUAUUCAAGAAAAACUUAACCAAAGUCCAUGAAAAACAUAUCCUAACUAACUUGCCAAACAAUAAGGUUCAAAAAUCUCAGUUUGACAGCAGAGAUCUGUCUGUGCCCAUUUCUCCCAUGUAAUCAUCUGUUGUCUCCUUGCGCUUCUGGUACAUUUGAAAUUUGAAAUAAAUACCUAUAUAUGAAUCAUCACCUAAAGAAACUAAACUACUACAAUCAAGUUCUCUAUGUACUAUCCUAAUCCUAAAUUAACUACAUGUCUGACUUCACAUGAAAACAACAAUUCGAUACUCUUAUCUUUUCUUGAGCUUAAACCACAGCAUCCUUGUAGAAAACCUAACACCUUUUCUUUCUCUAUAUUUUAUCUCUAACUGCCAGCCAUUCUUUUCCAUGAAGUAUACCUCUCCCUUUAACAUCAAAAACAUUAUAAUAAAGAAUUCCAUAGCAAUCCCUAAAUUCUCCUGCCUGUGGCAAUAAUGUUCAUUUUCCGGUAUUAGACAUGGCUGUGAUUAGCAAAUGCUCUUCAAUGUUUAAAGACAGUGUUCUCUGUUUUGUUGAGAAUCCUAGACAAAACCUUCCAUCUCAUAUCUCACAUUCACCAUGUUUUGAAUAAACACCUGCAAGACAAUUAGUUUCCCUUCCAAUGGAGGUUACAGAAAUGGAGAGGCAGAGCCUUGAAACAUGCUGAAAUGUUAAUUUCAAUUAACUGAAAUUGGGAUAGGAAUUCCAGUCUUUAUAAUCAGAGAUUCACCCCUUCAUCUAUUAUACCAUUUUAAGCAUUUAACGUGACAUGAAAAUUGAAAACAGCUCCAGGCAUCAAGCAGAAGUAACCAAAACACUAUGUUAAUAUUUCUGAACUUGGAAUAUAUCCAACUAGAAAAUAUAAAAUUAAAACAAGACAAUCGUGGAAAAACUGUAAAUAUAAAACAAGCUAACAUACCCUCUCCAUCUAAGUGGUGGCACCAACAUUGGCAUAUAAGGAAUCACCAUGUGCCUAGCCUGUUUGGAGAAACAACAUUUUUAUGACUUCUUAUGCAAGAAAAAAGAAUGAAAGACAAACAUCUGCAACUUAAGAGGCACCGUGGAAAUUGCCUACAAAUCUUAUCUGUUUCAGCUCUAAAAUCUAGAAACUAAUCUAUCUGCUUUGAAAGUAUAUGGCACCCUGACACAAGUUCAUGUCAUAAAGGAUGAUAAAAUAUGAAAACUAGAUAUCACUAGAAGAACAAAAUAUGACAGGGUUACUCACAGUUUUCUCUAGGCCUUUGAGGACUAGUGGGUCACAUUGUAUAACACCAUAUUUUUUCGCGCACUUCCUGUUUAAGAAAAGGCCAUUGUGCAUCAGUUAGGAGCAAUUACAAGGAAGAAAAGAUAAAUUGAGCUCAUCGAGUCAAUUAAAGAAUGACUCCAUACUUAUUUUCAUAUGACACGGUUCUGAAUGUAUGCACAAAUGCAGGUCGAGGUUCAGAUGGACUAUCAGCUAACUGAUCACAGGGAGGCUGUAUAUAAGCUGUUUGUAACAGCAAUUCAAUUAGACGGCUUCCAACCUGCAAAGCGCAAGUACAGAAAUCAAAUUCGUACACAAUACAUUUGUUCAAGAAAAUUAGCCUUUAUCAAUGAUUACAAGCACACAAACCUUAGCCCUAGCAUCUGCAUUCCAUGGUUUUGAAUCAUCCUUCCCCUUCACAAUCUUCCUCACAGCUGGCAGCUUUUGUUUUUUAAUCAAAUCAGUAACCUUUUUUCUUAGGUUUUCUUGUUCCUUCAUGACAGCAGGGGAUUCACCUUCUACACCAUUCUUGCUAUCAUUAGUAUUUUCCUUUUUCUUCCUUGUUUUCUCCAAGAUAUUGUGUAUUCUAAUCUGUUUCAUCACAGAAACUGUUACAGAUUCAGUCCUCAGUUCAAAGAAAGAGAACAAGACUGAAGAGUUAGGAGUUCCAAAAAAUGGAUUAAGAAUGGUACACCUAAAUAUCUCUUCAUUGUAUAGUUCUUUUUUAAAAGAAAAAAAGGAAACGAAAAGAGGAAGCAGCUCCCAUAGUCAGAAGAGACAGUAGAGCAAAGUGUUGCGCAUGCCCUUAACAUCUAAACUAAGAGAAAAACUUAAACAACUUACAAAACAAAGGCACAAACAAGAACACACAUAAUUGCAUUGAUAAAGAUAAUUGCUGUCCCCAACAGGGAAAUGCAAAAGUAUAAAUCCAUAGUGAAACAAUGUCGAAGGAAAGUUGAAUGUCACUCUUAUUAGUCCACCAUGCCCAUGCUUCGAAGAAAUUGUAGCUCAAAAAAGAAAGGCGUAGUAGAAUAUUCAGCCUAAUAAGGCCCGUGAUAUGAAAAGUUUAACACUUAAUGAAAAAAUUGUAAAAACUUACUAUCUAAAGGAUCUUACACUACAUUGUUUUUCGUACCUACAUUAGUGUCCUCCCUGGAACCAUGAACAGCAGAAGAACUUGGACUGAAAGUAAAAACUAUAGAUAUAUAAAAAUGAAAUCCAGAAAACCCCCAUUCAACAUUCGACAAAACUUUACGGAACGUAACUUCAAAAUCUAAUUUUCCAGGCACUACUAGCUCCAUAGCUGAUUUUUAUCUCAUAAUUGUACAUAGUAACUUUCAUCUUUCUUCCUAGUUCAUCACCUCAGAUGAAGGUUGUCUAAAAGUAAAUUUAAGAAACUUUAGGUUUUCCCUUAUCUUUCAAUAUUUUUAUAUGGGCACUCAUUAUCCUCUGUCUACAAAUCAAACCGCAAGUAAAUCUAAAACAUUAAAAAUUACUUACCUCCUGCUCAAUUGCAUCACCAAUCAUACAAGCAGCAGUCACAACUCUUGCACAUCCAUGUUCCCCACCUGUCAUUACCAUUGCUGCGAGUUGAUGCAUUGCAAUAACAGACAUCUUGUCAGCUGGCAACAGAUCAAAAUACGGAGCAUAACCCUGCCUACUCUUCCCCGUUCUAAUCAACUCCUGCUCUUUCGCAAUUGUGUCUGUAAAAGGCUUAAAUUGUUAAAACUUUGUGGAAUUAUCGAAUUACAUGUUCUGUUUUGAAAUAAUUAAUAGCUUGCUUAAUGAGUCAUUUUUAAGUUUUAUCGAUGGUAUUGCAGAGUGGUAAUUUCUGCUAAUUUAUAUAUAUUAAUUUGUAUGGACGUUGAUAAAUGAUAAUGAAUAUUUAAUAUUUAUGAGAAGUUGUGAUUGGUUUGUUGGAUAAUCUCGAGGUAAAGUAAUAUUUUUGCAAGUUUAUUUACCUAACUUAGUUAAUUAAUACAUGAUGUCAUCAUAAUUUUAUAGAGGUUCGAUAGAAGUCAUGGAUGAUCGUUCAUGGAUGUAUCUAGAUUCACCCCAAGGAUUGCGGAGGAUGGAUUAUUGUAAUGGGGUUUAAGGUUUUAUUAAUUUCGCAACAUCUAUUCCCAGAAAUUUUAUUGGAGGCGGUAUUAGGUGUCCAUGUAGGAAGCGUUAAAAUAAAAAGUAUAUGCAUCCAGAUGUUGUAAUGAUGCAUCUUCUACAGAAAGGGUUUAUGGAGGAUUAUCAGUGUUGGUAUGCACAUGGAGAGGUAUUUGUUAGUAAUAGGAGAAUGGGAGAAACGGUGGUUGGGUCAACUUCUAGUGCUAGCAACGUGCAUGAAGCAGCAAAUGACAAUACUAAUCCUUACAAAAAUAUGGUUAUGGAUGCAAUGAGAAUGAAUCAAGGUAAUGUCAGUCAAUGUCCAAUCAUAAAAGAAGAACCUAAUGCAGAGGCAGCUAGGUUUUUUGAUUUGUUGAAAGAUUUUGACGAACCAUUAUGGGAUGGCUGCACAAACCACAGUAAAUUAUCGGUCGUGGCACAAGUGUUCACCAUCAAGUCAGAUCAUGGGCUGAGUGAGGCCGGGUAUGACAAAAUUAUUGAUUGGGCAAGAAGCAUUUUACCUGAAGGGAACAGGCUGAAAGAGAACUUCUAUGCUGCCAAGUCCAUGAUGAAACCCCUUGGUUUAGGAUACUAGAAAAUUGACAUGUGCCCUAACUUCUGCAUGUUAUACUACCUUGAAAAUGCUGAGAUGACCGAGUGCAUAAAAUGCGGGCAUUCCCGUUACAAACCCAGAACUGGCAGGGGAAAAACUCUAGUGGCGUAUAAAAAACUUAGAUAUUUUCCGAUCACACCUAGACUGUAGAGGUUAUUCAUGUCACGAAGGAUUGCUGAGCACAUGACAUGGCACCAAACAUAUGAUGCGGUUGAUGGUGUAAUGGUGCAUCCUUCUGAUGGCGAAGCAUGGAAACGCUUUAACAAUGUGCAUCCUGACUUUUCAACUGAAUCAAGGAAUGUCCGUCUUGGGUUGUGUACAGACGGAUUCAACCCAUUUGGGUCAUUUGCUGCUCCCUAUUCUUGUUGGCCGGUCAUACUCACAGUUUAUAACUUGCCACUGGGAAUGUGUAUGAGGCCGGAGUUCAUGUUUUUAUCUACUAUCAUACCUGGUCCAAGUAGCCUGGGGCGGAAUAUAGAUGUUUGUCUUCAACCGUUGAUUGAUGAGCUAGCGCAGUUGUGGUCCUCCCGGAGCUCUGACUUAUGAUAUAUCGAGGAAACAAAAUUUCCUUCUGAGGGCGGCUUUGAUGUGGACUAUCAAUGAUUUUCCAGCUUAUGGAAUGCUUUCUAGUUGGAGCACACAUGGGAAACUCGCAUGUCCAUAUUGCAUGGAAAACAACAAGGCAUUCACGCUAGCAACGGAGGUAAAGCUUCUUUUUUUUAUUGUCACCGUCGCUUCUUGCCACUUAAUCACAGGUUCAGAAAGAACAGAAAAGAUUUCUUUGUUUCCCCGCGUCUUUCUGGUGAAGAAUUGCAUCAUGUUGUAUCAGAGUACGAUGACAUUGUGUUUGGCCUUCAAUCAGGUAAGCAAAAGUUUCCUGGUUUUUUUUGACCCAUAAUUGGGUAAAGCGAAGUAUCUUUUGGGAGCUUUCUUAUUGGAAGACCAAUCUUCUCCGCCAUAACCUUGACGUCAUGCACAUCGAAAAGAACGUGUUUGAGAAUAUUUUUAACACCAUCAUGGAUGUGAAGGGGAAGACAAAGGACAACAUCAAGUCUAGAUUGGAUAUAGCUUUAUACUAUAACCGUAAAAAUAUGGAGUUGGUUUAUGAGGAGUCAUAGGUCGCAAAACCAAGGGCAAGCUUCGUGUUAGAGAAAAACGCACAACUGCUAGUCUACAAAUGGCUUAAGAGUCUGCGUUUUCCGGAUGGACAUGCAUCGAACAUAUCAAGGCUUGUUAACAUAGAGGACUGCAGAUUGUAUGGAAUAAAGAGUCAUGACUACCACGUGUUUAUGCAAACACUCAUCCCAUUAGCUUUUCGUGAUUUGUUGCCAAAGGGAAUAUGGGAUACACUGACGGAGAUCAGUCAUUUAUUCAGAGAUAUACCAGCAAGUUGAAUGUUGAGCACAUUGAGAGGCUUCAAACGAAUAUCAUCGAGACACAAUGCAAACUUGAGAUGAUAUUCACUUGCCUUCUCCUUAAGACCCUAUGCUUCCUUGACCCUAUUCCAGGGUUAGCAUGUAGCCUCCUCCUCCUAAAGUGCUCCUCUUUCUCCUCUUCUUUCCUCAUUUCUGGCAGCAAUUCUUGCACUUCAUCCGCAGCAGACACAAUAUCUUCAACAUCUGUUGAUGACACUGCCUCAGCUACACUCAGAUACCCUCUGGACAAAAUCCAGCACACCGACUCCCAUUAGUACCUUCACUAUUUCUCAAAAAAAUAGAACUGGGUUUUCCCAUAAAAUCUUCAUGGGUUGAUAUUUCGCCAAUUGCUCGAAAACCAAGUCGUGGACUUGUGUUAUUAAGCGAAUGGAACUUGAGUUUCUAAAAAAAGAUGGGUUCUUUAGAGGCUCCUAAAAAGCUGCAAGUUCUUGGAAAUGAAGGGAAAUUGAGGGACUUUGAUUGGGAUUUCAAAGUGGCUUGUUUUGCGAUGUUUCUCCACAUAACUGUGGAUGGUUUAGAGAUAGAAUUGUGGGUUUCUUAUCAAAAGUAAUCAAAGGAUCAAAAUUUUUGGUAGAAAAUAUAUGGGAGCUGGCCCUCUAAUUAAAGGAAAUUAAAAAAAGAAAAAGAAAUGGAAUUGAAGUGAUUGAGAGAUGAAUUGAAAUGCGCGGGUAAUGCAGCUUGAGAAAAGAAACGAGUUCAUAGAGAGGUAUGGUAGUGGUAUUAGCAUACCGGCCGCUUUAAACCCUGCAUAAAUUGCAAGGGCUUUUCGCAAUGUAAAAGUGUUAGAGCUUGUUUAAUAUGGAAACAAUCCUUCCAUCCGCAAACAUGGGAUUAUCCUAAAUUUAAGAAAAAAAUCCAUACAAAGUAAAAUGUGAAUCUAAUUGCCCAAACCAAAACCAUGAGCUAAAACUACCGAAGAUCUUCAAGCUAAAGCAAUAGCUGGAGCAGCUGCCGCUGCUCCUGCUGCAGUUGCCGCUGCUCCUGCUGCAGCUGCCGCAGCUGCACCUGCACCUGCUCCUGUUGCAGCCGCUGCAACUGCACCUGCUCCUUCUGCAGCCGCUGCAACUGCACCUGCUCCUGCUGCAGCUGCUGUUGCCGGAGCACCUGUAGCCGCCGCUGCACGAGCACUUGCCACCGCUGCCGGAGCACCUGCCGCCGCUCAUCAAGGUCCUGCUGUUGCCACUGCCGCCGCCGCUCAUGGAGGUGCUGCUGCCGCUGGAGCACUUGCUGCAGCUGCUCCUCCUCCUGCUCGAGCAGCUCCUCCUCCUGCUCGAGCAGCUCCUCCUCCUGCGUGAGCUGCUGCUGCAGCUCAGGUACAGUGAAACUGUACAUGGAUUCGAUGUUACAUGUUUUGUUGGGUGUUAAAAAAAAAAUUAAUAAAAAAAGUAUAGAUAUAUUUUUUCAACAUGUUUUUGUAUUUAAAAAAUUCUAAGUGAAAAAAAGAAUUAUAUAUAAAUAUAAUCAAAUAAAUUAAGAAUUAUAUGUGUUAAUAAAUAAAAAAACAACUAUAAACUAUAACUAAAAAUAAAAAUGAAAAAAUUGAGAAACAAGUGUAGAUUAAAAUAUUUAAUUUUAAAAGACGAGAUAUUUACGUGAUUGUAUUUAUUAAAUUUAUUCAUUAAUUUUUUUUUAUUCAAUCAAACGAUAAUAAAAAUAGACAUACACAUCAAAUUGAUUGAAUAAAAUAAAAUAAAAUAUGCAAGGCUGCACUUGUUAGAAAUAUUAUUUGAAAAUAAAAAAUUUUAUUUUCAAGAAUAAAGUUUAUUUGUACAAAAAGUUAAAAAAAUUAUAAAUGAAUUAGAAAAACUUUCUCAAAAAUUAAAUGCAUAACUAAAAAAUGAACAAUCAUUUCAAAGAGGAUCUCUAAACAACAAAAAAAAAAAACAAGGGAUAUUAAUCUAAAUAUAAAAUAAAAAAACAUAUAAAAGGAUAAAAAAAAAGAAAAAAGAAGAAGCAAAGGUCAUUCGUUGUUGGGACUACUAAGUUAAGUGAGUCCAAUUGCCGUAUUUUGUUAAGGCCCCUACUCACUAACCUUUUUUUUUUGUUGCAAGAUGUUUGAAAAAAAAAAAAAGAUGACGGUCUUUUAUAGACUAUAUUUUUUUUUCUCUUACAAAAAAGAUGUGCAUGCAUGUUUUUUCGAUGCCAAUUUAUUUAUAAAAAAAUUUAAAUGUAAAUUUAAAAGCUCAUACAUAAAUGUAAUCAAAUAAAUUGAUAACUAUAUGAAUUAAUAAUAAUAAAAAAUAUUAACAAUAAAUAAAAAUAAAAUUUUAAAAAAUUCAAAUGUGUUAAUAAACGGAACAUUUACCUAGUUAUAUUUUUGAAUUUAUUUAUUAAAAUUUAUUUUUUUAUUCAAUUAAAUGAUAUUAAAAAAAACACACACGUAUUACAUUGAUUAAAUAAAAUAAAAAUAGAAAACAUAUUAUGCAAGGUUGCUGUAUAUAUUAUGAUAUAUGAAAAUAAUUUUUUUAUACAAAAAGAUAAAAAAUAAUUAUCAAUGAAUUAUAAUAAGUUUUUUAAAAAUUAAAUAUGAACAACACCAUAAAAAAUAAUAUCUAUCCAAAAAUAAAUAAAUAAAUAAAUAAUAAUAAUUACAAAUGAGGAAUAUUAAUUGAAACAUAAAUUUAAAAAAUAUUUUUAAAAAAAUAUAUAAAAAGGAAGAAUUAAUUAUUACCUUUUCGAUACAGAUGAAAUCUCAACUUCAUUGAGAAUAUCCAUCCAUCUUUGUACCUUCUUGUUUUCCCUGAAAUUUUCUUCAUUCUUAUCAAAGACAAUUAUGUAACUCUCUGUUUGAUCAUCUAUCUUUGAUUCUUCGACAUCAUAAGAAACUGGAAACAUAGUGUCCGAUCUCAUCUCAUCCAUGAAUCUGAAAAUCUUGACAAGUUCGUCAAAGCACCAAGGUAAAGAAGCACAAUCUCUUGCAAAUAUAAUAAUUGACAGCCCUGAUUCUUCAAUGGCCUCAAAGAGUCUUGAUCUAAUUGCCAUUACUUUCUCUGGUUCCUUCCUGACUGGGAUAAUAACUCUCCGAGCUAGAUCUGACUUUAAAUAGGUGAUAGCAUUACUAGUGUCUGCGGCUCUGAUGCCAGGGAAAACACUAGCCAUCCAAUGAUGGUAAGAUGAAGAAAAAGCUAAAGAAGCUUUAUAUGAAGAAGCUGUUUCUAAACUUGUAACAAUAAAAUGGGCAGAUGGUUGGGAUGUACUAUACAGAGAAGAUAACAAACAAACACCACAAUUCUUCACCUUUACUCGUCGCUCGUAGGAAUGAAAUGACAACUCAAUGUUGCUAAAGGAUCCAUGCUUCCAUUCUUUAAGCUCUUUAAGGUAAUCAAAAGAUAGAUAGAAUAGCCAAACAUGAUUUGACAGAACUUGGAUAGAAUUACAACUAAUACUUAUUGGCGAACGAUAAUUCUCUCUUCCAUUGGCUUUGAAAUGACAAGAAAGAGAUGGACUUUCACCAUUUGCACUGAAUGCAACACACGCAACAAACCCCAUGCUCCAACUAGGCACUUGCACACUAAUUGAAGAUCCCUUACUUUGAUGGUUAAACCAGCCUGGAAUUUCAUUUCCUGGAACAACAAUACCAAAUCCAGGUCUUGGAUUAGGCAAACCCUGUACCAUGAAGAACCAAAAUGUUAGAUAGAUAAAGGGAGAGGGAGAGAGAUACAAAGAGGUUGGGGAUUGAUUAAGAGAAGACCUUGAGGUAUCUUUCAAGCAUGGUUAACCCCAUGCUGUCUUGGCCAUUAUGCUCGUACAACUCCCAGCAGUUAAGACAUAUGAACUCUGAUCUUUUGGAACUGCUUAGCUUUAUCGGAUCUGGAAUUUCUUUUAGGCGUAUACAACCAUUCAAAUUUAAUGUUUGAACUUUUGGUGGAACCUCAGGCAAUGAUUCAAGCAUCCUACAAUCCUCCAAGACAAGCAUUUCAAGUCCAGAAAGUUGAUUUAUGCUUUCAGGCAGGCUAAUAAAGUUAUUCUGGCUCAGAUCUAAAGACUUCAAUGAAGAUAAGCAGCCAAUAUCUUCAGGAAGUGCCCCUUCUCUUAGAUUGCAAGCGCAUAAAUCCAAUACUUCUAAAGAACACAGACCCAACAAAGAAGGCAACCUGUGAUCCGUGGGAUUCAUAGCUAUUCUUUUGCAUCCAUCAAAAGAUAAUACUUUAAGAUUCUUUAAAAGAAAAAUGGAUGCUGGCGGUUGUCUUAUUGAAGUUCCACUUCCAUCAAACUCCUCCAAACUUUCAACUUUCCCUAAAUUCUCUGGUAUAUAUUUAAGUCUAAAGCAGCCAGAUAGAUCAAGUUUUUUAAGGGAUUUCAAACAACCUAUGCUACUUGGAAUGCUUUCAAGGUUCUUGCAGUUGUUCAUGCUCAAUAGACCUAAGCCAAUCAAAUGAUGCAUCGAUG